rnacentral:rRNA from 1 species
UACGGAGGAUGCGAGCGUUAUCCGGAUUUAUUGGGUUUAAAGGGUGCGUAGGCGGUUUUGUAAGUCAGUGGUGAAAGUUUGCGGCUCAACCGUAAAAUUGCCAUUGAAACUGCAGAACUUGAGUACAGUAGAGGUAAGUGGAAUUCGUAGUGUAGCGGUGGAAUGCUUAGAUAUUACGAAGAACUCCAAUUGCGAAGGCAGCUUGCUGGACUGUAACUGACGCUGAGGCACGAAAGUGUGGGGAUCAAACAGG